GACACUAUACUGCAAGGUUGAAAACUGGAUUUAUGUAAAACUUGAAUUCAGUGCGUUUGUUUAAUCUUCAGUAGACUAUGUGUUCAAGGUGCAACUGGGAAUUUGUGAUUAGUUUGUUAAAUGCUGCCAUCUUGUGGAAAAACGUAAAAGCAAUAAAGUUAAAGUAAUACUGCGUUUGUAAAAUACUGCUUAGUACCUUAAGGGCGCUUUUCCACCGCACAAAGUACGGUAACUCACUGACGGUAACUCACCCCCGCAGUUAAGUCUGCAUUAUCCAACCACUUCAUGCCUAUGUACACCUCAUUAUAUAUAAAUCCAGGAAAUGUUUUGUUUUAAAAUGUCUAUUAAAAUGAAGUAAAGAUAUUUUGGAGGAGUUCGUGACUGACAAGUGAAAACUAUUUCAAAAAAUGAAAGAAACUUGUACUAAAAAUCUUUAAGCAGAAGUACAAUGAUCACUGGCGGUUAUUUUGGCCGCGCGGGCAGGAACACGUUCAACAAGCUCACGCGGUUUUCCCGCUCCCUCCACCUCUGAGGAGAAAGUGCGCGUUCAAAGCAAGAAGUGGAUUUCACCCGGCGGACCUGCUCUGACUGUCUGGUAGCCCCCUAUGGCCUCAUGAAGUCAGCAUUUCAGUUACAGAAGCCUAGGAGCGGCCAAGCAGGGCCACCCCCGAGCCCAGCAGCACCAGCCACUGCCGAUACCUUUGAGCUACACGUUUGCUUACAGAGCGGUGAGGAAAGGUCCGAAGGCCUUCAGGGGCCGGCGGUGUAGCCGCGAGGGCUGUGGGCUCAGCCCCUCCAUGUGAGAUGAGCAGCAGAGACCAUGCAGCUGGCACUGGAAUCAGAUGGUGACCCACAUACUUCUCUGCAGUGGCACAGAGCCACGUCUACAAGGAGCUCUGGGGUCUGGAAGAGGCUCGUAGCAGAUGCUUCCGCAAUGCAAAUACCUGCUCUUUGAGGAAUGACCUGCAGACCUGUGAGCCAUUGCCACUGGAUGAGGGGAGUGUCACAGCACUGACCAUGCACAUGGAUACAUACGUCAAACGCACUGAUAUCUGCAUGGCCUCCACACAGCUACAGCUGUUAGAAUGACAGCAUGUUCCCUGCCAGCAGCCUCAGUAGGUGGCGGAGACCCCAGGCAGCCUCCUAGCUGCCCUGAUAGAUGAAACAAAGCAAAAUCUAAAAGGGGCCAACUGCUAGCGGAAAGCAAGGUCUCCUGACCAGGAACUGCACCAAGAAUUAUAAGGGAUCCGACUUUUUGAUUUGGAUGGGAAAAAGGUAAAUGUACAAUGUAUGUUUAAUGUAAUUAUAUAUGUUAAUAUACAGCUAUGACCUUUUAUCUUUGAGCAGUCCUUAUUCUUCUUGCCUAUUCUGAGUUUAUGUUCAUUCUGGAAAGUUCUUUAGCUGUAAUUUUAAGCUGACAGAGGGACACAAAGCUGUGCAUUUGCUAGUAGUUAAAACAAUAGUCCCUUUAACAGGACGGUUCUUUUGGGUACGUCGGGGAUGUUGGGUUUCUCCGCACUGCUUUCCCAGGGGCCCCCUCAGCUGUCAAAGCCCCAGCCUCCCGGCUUGAAUUACCAAGAUGUCUGCCUUCACGGCACUCUCUAGAAAACGGUGGGAGCUGACGCAGCCAUUCCUCACACUGGACAAACAGGAGGGGCCCAGCUCCAAGGUGCCCACACCUCGCUGGGGCAGCACUCAAAGAAUCUCUCAACUUUCCAAGGGCUCUUGAAGAACACAAGUUUGAAGGCUUGGGGAAAGUUUCAGAAUAUGCUCUUCAUGGCAUUUCUCUCCACAGUUGGCCUACAGGCAGAUGUUGCACUCCAAACAAGUUAUCAUUGGGCUCCAGGCCUCCCCCCGGUUGGCUACCCACAGGGGGCGGGGUGGGAGUUGACAGCACUGCUGAUUACCCUUGGUACCAUAAUGUUGUACUGCCUUGACAUGGGGAGGCUCUGUCCUGCACAGGACGUUUCCUAGGCUUCUACCGCACAUUCACAUGACAGAUGCAAAGCAAAAGCAAUCCUGGCCAGAGCAUUCAAGUCCAGAGGAGGUCAAACUAGUAAGCUCUCCAUGAUCAAUGCUAAGGUCCUUGAAAUUUUUGUAUGAUGCAGUCCGGUCCACGACCAUCAAAAGGCGGGGAACUGUAGGCUACAGAGUCGGACCCUGAGCAUGGGCAGAAUAUCCCCCCCACAGCCCAGAGGAAGGGGCCGGCAUUCCUCCACCCCAGCCCCAGGCAUCCCUUGGGCAAAGAGGGCUGGGGCCUCACAUCUGGAAAGAGAGCAGCUGGCCAAGGAGAGGAACUAGAGAGCAGGAGAUACUGGAUAUGGUGGAAAUACAUGUUAUAAAAGCAAGACAAGGGCCCUCUUUCUAACACUAAAUGUUGCUCCAAAGAAAAAAGAUGUUUUUGAAAAUGCAUGUCAGGAGAUCUCCAACUGGGGAAUGAACACGUGACCUCCCCUCUGGGUACGAUUACCAUCACAUGUGGGAUUUUGUCCAGCUCCAUUCGCUCAGUCAUCUCCAUGAAGAGCUAACUCUAGGAAGGAGCUUGUUAGCAGGAUGGGGACACCCCCGGCCUGAAACCCUGACAGUGAAUUCCUGAAGCGUGACACCGGCCCAGAGCUGGAGUCCUGUCUGCAAGCAGCACAACGCUCUGGAUUUCAUGCGAGGUAUCUUCUCCCGGAGAGAAUAAGGUAAAGUAAUACCCCAGGAACUGCCACAAUAACCAGCUAUGCGGAAUCACAGCACUAAUAAAUGCAUCAUGUAAAUUCACCACAAUAUACAUUCUACAGGUAUUUUUUAACAUGCGCAGCAUGCAAUGAAUAACAAACGUGAAUUGUA